UGUGGGAAGCUGGGGCCAGGAGUCAGGCAGCAGAGCAGGGAGAGGGGGUGCCUACGUGGCAUGGUGGGGUGAGGACAUGGGGGAGAGUUUUGGUGUCCUUGACUCCAUCUUGGCCAGUUACACCUCCCAUUCAGCUGAACAGAAAUCUGCAGUAACUAGCUGGACAGAGCACAUGGCCACAGAAACCACUGAGUAAUUCCCAGAUGCUAUCUGACUCAGGCAAUCAAAUUCCCUCCCUGUGUAAGCAUUGGCAUGGAAAGUUCCCAGAAGGCAGGUGUUGACUUGUGAUGACAGCAGCCUCACCCCUCACCUCAGGAGGGACUUCCUAGACUCAGGGAGGAGUCCAUGGUCAGCACAGCUCCCUGCUCCAGCCCUGCCUGCCUGCCCCUCACAGGGCCAGCACCAGCCUCCCCGCCCCAACUUAUACUAACACACCACACUCAGACUCCCUCGAGGCCAGUCCCAGCUGAGCUCUGAGGGGGCCCCAGGGGAAAGGAAGAAAGGAGUGACGAUGAGGCACUCACACAGAUCUGUGUGCUGGAUAUUUCUGGCCCUCAGCACCUUCACCUGGAGAUCAUAGUAUGGACCCUGAGAGCCUGCUGCCUGCCAGACCUGUGCUAGACCCAAGAACACAAAGGUGAGGAGGGCCCAUCUGCAAACUGAAGAAAUUCAUGGCCUUGUGACUCCAUGGCCCAACCUCUCCCUGGAUUGUAUACAGAGCACACUGCGGUGUCCAGGAAUGACUCUGCGUCACUCAAGAGAUGCCUGUUCCCAGGUAAGAGAUCCUGGGUCACUUAGCUCUCCUGGCUCCUCUGAGGAACUUCCCGCCCACCUAGGUCUGCUUCUGUGCACCAUGCACAGUACCCAGGUCUGUGCUUGCCUCUAAGGCUUGGGCCAACUGGCUUCCCAUGAAA